CGCGACGCGCGCGCGCGGAAGUAGUCGCUGCGCGCCGCCAGCACCGCCUUGUGCGCCCGCAGCCGGCGGCCGGACACCUCGAUGACCAGUCUUUUCCGGUUGAUUCAAAUUAAGUGGCAAAAGAUACUGGGAGGAAGGACCUGCUCUGGAGCUGGCCUCAGAAGCCUAACUCCGAAGUCGGUCUGCACUGUCCCUUCUUGGAAUCGUGUCUUUAAAACCUCAGGGAAGCAAUUCCCCACAAACAGUCCAUGCACAGCAAAAGAAAAGCCAAAGCAACAACAACAACAAAAAGAAGAAGAAGAAGAAUUAAAAAGGAAGUAUGUGAAAGGCAGAUGUGAGCACGUGCAGGUGCACCGUAAAGCCAUGAAAUAUCUUUCCCAAGUUGGCAAAACCUUCUGAGACUCCCCAGCCUGGAAGGAUCUUGGCAGUUUUACCACAAACGUAAAGGGAGGGCCCGACCGUGUACCAGCUUUCUAAAGAAGAGAACUUACAGGGAAGGAAACCACAUGUAGGAUGUGUUAGCCUCUCCACUGAGAUCCAUGACAAUCACCUUCCCUCAACCUCUCCUGGUUUCUACCUCGCCUACCUGGUCCUCAUAAACGUUCAGCGUUCAGCAUUUACACUUGCCUGCCCUGUUCCUCCUGCUGCUAUUACUAAAAAACUAUUCCCGGGGCGCCUAGGGGACUCAGCUGAUUAAGUGUCCAACUUCGGUUCAGAUCAUGGUCUCGUGGUUCGUGAGUUCAAGCUCCGCGUCGGGCUCUGUGCUGAAACAGCUCGCGGAGCCUGGAGCCUGCUUUGGAUUCGGUGUCUCCCUCUCUCUGCCCCUCCCCUACUCGUUCUCUUUCUCUCUCCCUCAAAAAUAAACAUUAAAAAAAAAAAAAAACUUUCCCAUUAUGUUAGCAGUAAAUGUCUUCAAGUUGAAAGUUCAAGACAUUCAAUUCUCUCCCUCUCUCUCCCUCCCUUCCUCUGUCUCUCCUUUCCAGAUAUCUUUAACAGUAACUUUCAGGGCACGUCCGCUGUGUGCAAAGCAGAGUCCCGGGACACAGGGAAAUGCAGAGUAAGCUGAAACCCUGGCCUGCCCGGGGGCGCGGGUGGUGGAGGAGGCUCUCCUGUUUACUCAGCUGUGGCCCAGCCCCGCUGUGGUGCAGGCUCAGUGCUGUCCAUCCCGGCCCCAGCGGCCAUGCCCCGGCGAGGUGGCCGUGACCGCUGACCCACAGCGAGGCAGCGUGACAACGAACUGGAAACCUGUACGCACUGUGUAAGCAAAGCUCGUGGUGUCUCCCCAGGGACCCAGUGGUGCUUUCUCAUCAGUGAGGUCACUCAAGGGAAGGUCUGAGAGGUACUGACAAAUCGUACUCAAACUUCGUAGAUGCGGAGAACAGACUGGCGGCUGCCAGAGUCAGCAGGGGGAGAAACGGGUAAAAGUGUCCACCUGUGAACCUUCACAUCGGGCAGAAAGUCGGAGGGACUGGCUGUGUUCUCAGGCUCGUUCUUUCACACUUCUGCACUCCGCCUAAGACCGUAGACCUCAGAGGACCAAGCUAGUAUUUUAUUUCUUUUUGUGGCUGAGAAAGGGCCCCAGAACUUCCUGGUUCUUUCUCUGGCUGGACUCGGUUCAAAGAAAACCCUAAGAGUUGUCUUCUUGUAAAUCAUCACAGACUGAAAGGAACGGCACAGAACAGCACGCAUUUUUAAAGCUUACGCUCGGGGCUCUGUGUUUUGAAAGCCCUACAGGACGAGUGUGAGGCCCAAGAGACUCGGGCUGGGAAGCGUGGGGUAUGUCGUAGCUACAAUGAAGCACGGGCUCUCGCUCCACAAAAGAACCAACACAAUCCAGAGCAGCCCGUGGUGUGGCCCGCCGGGCCGUCUGCUGGCCUGGGUGAGACGGAACUGGUUCUCGGCCCAGCCACCCAGAGAAAGAUGAACAAUCCUCUCGAAUAUCCUGCCUCUAGAGUUCUAGUGACAAUACCACUUCUACUCCUCGGCACACGUGAAAGUUGUGAAACUGUCCUUUUGAGGGAUAUCUGCAGCAGAGACGGUUUCAUGCUGUUCCGCGGAUGCUCGGGCCCCAGGCUCCCCGGGGAACCCGGCUGGGGUUAGAGCCGGUGGGCAGAGGCCCCCUUGCCGGGAUACCAGUGGUGCGGCCACGAGAGCCCCUCCCAGCUCAGCCACGUGCCCAGCUGUGCACCCCGGGACCAGGUCAGUCCCUGCUCACGUCCAGCCAGCCAAGGCGAUCCCGCACACGGGUGUUACCGGCUGGGCCCCAAGACGGCCUGCCACUCGACGUCAGGCACGGUGAUGCCGAGUUAGGAGCCGGGAGGCCAGCCCUCCCCACCCACCCCCCACCGGAAGCUCUUGGCCAGCGCUUCUGGAAGAUGGUCCCCAAGCACCACUUCGGGCCUCUUCCGAGUCUCUCCCAAACCUUGAAGAAUGGGCGGGUCAGAGUCCACAGGAGAAAUGAGGACAUUACGCAGAGGGACCACUUCCUUUCCCGAAAGGUUUUAAAGAAGCUCCACAGUAGUAGCUGUCUUCCCUCCUCCCUGAAUGGCCCGUUGCUGUGAUUUUGCCUGAAAAUAGAUGGGGAGUAGGGACGCCUGGGGGCUCAGUCGAUUAAGCGUCUGACUCCUGAUCUCGGCUAGGGUCAUGAUCUCAUGGUUCGUGGGAUCGAGCCCCAUGUCGGGCUCUGUGCUGACAGUGCAGAGCCUGCUUGGGGUUCUCUCCCUCUCUCUGCCCUCCCCUGCUUGUGUGCAUGCACGCUCCCUCUCUCCCAAAAUGAAAAAAAAAAAAAAAAAAAAAAAAAAAAAGAUGGGGAAGAGUCAGCCCGUUUUGCAUCUAACAGUCCUGAGGCCUCAGCAAUCCUGCUGACAAGGUUAUCGCCCAGUUUCCGUGGGCUGGGAGUCACAGUGUUCCCUCCAUGUGGUGGUUGGUUCUAGAAUCAGAAUUCCAGGAAGGGAGUCCUGCAGGACUCUGGGCAGGGUGCCCGUCCUGGCCACAUGAAGUAACCGAAACCCCGCACCCGGUCGUGGCAUCAGGAAGGCCUUCUUUCCCGAGUGAUCGCCAUCAGGUGUUGCCCCGAACACUGCUUCUGGGGGCUGCUGCGGCAGAUGGUGAAAAGGGACGUGUCAGGGUGGAUACGUAGGUGACAGUGACAGGCUCCCUUCUCGACUGUAGUCAGAAAGUGUUUCAAGAACAAGUCUUAUUUAAAUGUCAUUUAUGUAGCGUUUCCCCCUGAAGGAGUUUCUUCUUCACAGAAACCUAAACCAAAGUUUUACAGUUUCUUUCCAUGAGUUUCUUCACUAUGAACAAUGAAUUUUUUUUUAAUGAUCGUACAAUAUCCUAAUGGGAACAUUGUUUGUGUCUCUAACGUGGAAAUUAGUUGAUUUAAAAUUAAAUAUGCUUCAUUGUAAUAUAGGUUGCUAAAAAGAAUCCUUUAAAUAAUUACAGUUAGCUUUUUAAAAAAAAAAUGUAUUUGUUGGGGCACCUGGGUGGCUCAGUCGGUUGAGCGUCCGACUUUGGCUCAGGUCAUGAUCUCGCAAUCUGUGAGUUUGAGCCCCGCGUCGUCGGGCUCUGUGCUGACAGCUCAGAGCCUGGAGCCUGCUUCGGAUUCUGGGUCUCCCUCUCUCUCUGCCCCUCCCCCGCUCAUGCUCUAUCAAAAAUAAGUAAACAUUAAAAAAAAUU